AUUGAACGCUGGCGGCAGGCCUAACACAUGCAAGUCGAACGGUAACAGGAAGCAGCUUGCUGCUUCGCUGACGAGUGGCGGACGGGUGAGUAAUGUCUGGGAAGCUGCCUGAUGGAGGGGGAUAACUACUGGAAACGGUAGCUAAUACCGCAUAUGUCGCAAGACCAAAGAGGGGGACCUUCGGGCCUCUUGCCAUCGGAUGUGCCCAGAUGGGAUUAGCUUGUUGGUGGGGUAACGGCUCACCAAGGCGACGAUCCCUAGCUGGUCUGAGAGGAUGACCAGCCACACUGGAACUGAGACACGGUCCAGACUCCUACGGGAGGCAGCAGUGGGGAAUAUUGCACAAUGGGCGCAAGCCUGAUGCAGCCAUGCCGCGUGUAUGAAGAAGGCCUUCGGGUUGUAAAGUACUUUCAGCGGGGAGGAAGGGAGUAAAGUUAAUACCUUUGCUCAUUGACGUUACCCGCAGAAGAAGCACCGGCUAACUCCGUG
rnacentral:rRNA from 1 species